rnacentral:rRNA from 1 species
CCUACGGGAGGCAGCAGUGAGGAAUAUUGGUCAAUGGACGCAAGUCUGAACCAGCCAUGCCGCGUGCAGGAAGACGGCUCUAUGAGUUGUAAACUGCUUUUGUACGAGGGUAAAUCUCGAUACGUGUAGCGGUUUGAAAGUAUCGUAUGAAUAAGGAUCGGCUAACUCCGUGCCAGCAGCCGCGGUAAUACGGAGGAUUCAAGCGUUAUCCGGAUUUAUUGGGUUUAAAGGGUGCGUAGGCUGUUUGAUAAGUUAGAGGUGAAAUCCCGGGGCUCAACUCCGGCACUGCCUCUGAUACUGUCGGACUAGAGUUUAGUUGCGGUAGGCGGAAUGUAUGGUGUAGCGGUGAAAUGCAUAGAGAUCAUACAGAACACCGAUUGCGAAGGCAGCUUACCAAGCUACGACUGACGUUGAGGCACGAAAGCGUGGGGAGCAAACAGGAUUAGAUACCCCUGUAGUC